CUGGGAUGAGGGUCCUUUGAGAUUUCUUCUUGGCUGUGCUUCAGGCUCCAUAACAGCAAUGGAUCCACACUUCUUCAUACAGGGAGGGCAGGUGGCCGUGAGCCAAUGUGCCUGUGCAGGAGUGGUGUUUUCAGCAUGCAUGACACAAUCAGGAGCCAAUCGGGACAGCAUGCCCCAAAUAAGGGUCCCUGCACCAGGAGGAUCGUGUGUGUGUGCACACGUGUGUGUGCAUGUCCACGUGCACACGAGUUGCUCACCCAGCUGCUACCUGAAAAAUCGCAUGGGCAAGUUGUAGAAAUUGAACCUGGGGAAUGUUGUGAAGGCAGCUGAGAGAUGUCCACAAAGGCUGUCAAGGGCAGAUGAACCUACUCAGUGUGAAGAUG